UGUUGGGUGUUUGUGGGUUUUCUCAUUUCUUUCCAUGGGAGAGUUAAAUAUUCCUGUCUUAUGAUAGGUAUAGCCAGAAAAGAGAUUCUAGAAACUAUCUACCGUAUUGGUUGUUUUUAGUUACAAAGACAGAGAAAUAGUUAAGUAUAAAUUCUUUCCCUUAUGGAGCUUUUGGUUUUAUGGCCAUGUGAGAGCUUGGGAGUUGGAAGAGUGAGGUUGGUGUGGGCUGGACUUGAACUGGACCUUGAAGAUUAGAGUAGAUCAGUGGGAAGUGGAAUAGUGUGUGCAUGGAGCCAUUUUAUUCUGUUUUAUGUAGAAAGCAAGGGGUUUAAGAACCACCAGUUUUUCUCAACUCAUUGGGGAUGAUUUCAUGAUCAUAAUAGCAUUUGAGUUUUAUUUGGUGGGUGGGCAAGUUUUGUACCACUUAGGAAUCCCUGCCAUUUUCUUUUACUUGGGAAUAUCAGUAAAAUUUUGAGAGCAUUAAGUUUCCCAAGUGAAACUUUAGGAAAAGGAGAGCUCUGAACCAUUUAAAGAGUUAGCUUAUACCCUUUCCUUGAUAUGUAGCUUCAGUCAAGGAAGUGACUUCUUAUUAUUGCUAAUAAUGUUUUGAUAGAGACUCUUUUUUACUUUGUUUUGGUGUCCCCUUCAGUGGUCAGAAUUUGCUCUGUAAGUUGGGUCAUCUCCUUUGUCUUAUUUAGGGACUUGAUUAAUUGGCUUGACUUUUUGGACCAAGAUGAUUCUUUUUUGUGGAGGGCUAUCUGGUGCAUUAUAGUAUGUUUGCCCACUAGAGGACAGUAGCACCCCCCCCCCCCCACCAACUUCUAGUUAUGAAAAUCAGAAAUAUCUGUAGACAUUGCCAAAUGUCCCAGUGGGGCGGGACAACCUCCAGUUGAUAACUACUGGAUUAGAAGGAAUAAAGAUGUGAUGAACUGAGUGUGUAUUUGUUUUUAGGUACUUAAAUCCAUGAUUGUUUUAAUGUCCAAUUUUUAAAGAUUUCUAUAAAGCUAAGUAUAAAGUGCUUCAUAACUUAAAAAAGAAUAUUACAAAUCUAGCAGGUGUUUCAUAAUACAUUUUUGGUGUGAAGGAAGAUGAAUAAUCUUAGCCCUAAGGUUUUUAUGGAAUAGAUUUUAAGGACAUUAGGAGGGAAGCAUGUUUGUUUAUAUGUGGAUGUAUAAUAAUAGCAAUUUUGCAGUAAUAUUCUUCAACAAAUUUUGGGUUACGACUACAUGUAUUCACUAUGCUUCCUAAAACCUUUAAAAAAAAUUUUUUUUAGUUUUUUUUAUGUUUAUUUAGUUUUUGAGAGAGACAGAGCACAAGUGGCAGAGGGGCAGAGAGAGAGGGAGACACAGACUCCAAAGCAGGCUCCAGGCUCUAGGCUCUGAGCGGUCAGCAUGAGCAUGAGCUUUGGAAACAAUCUAGGUACAAAUUCCAGCUCUACCUUCAAGAAUGAUUUUGGGCAGAUUACUUAUAAAGUCUAUACCUCAGCUUCUCAUUUAUAAUAUGGGGUUUAUGGAAGUACCAGUCUUAAAGGGCUGUAUUAAAUGACUUUAUUUAAAGCACUUAAGAGCAGUGCUUGGCAAAGGUACUGUAUGUAAUAAGUAUUAGCUGCUACUAUUACUUUUGUCAUAUGUAAUAUUCCUAAAUUUAAUUUUCCUGCCAUUUAAUGACUAAGGUGUAGGUUAAAAAGUGAGGGUAUUUUAUACUCAUUUUCACUUGUUUUCCAGAUUACUGUCCCAUUGUUCCAAAUAGAAUUCUUUGAAUCUUGUGAAUAUAAAUGACCCCUGAUUGAUUUGUAAUCAUAUUGGUUCCUGGAUAAUGAUCACAAGUGGAAAUUGUCCUAAUUUUAAAUCAAAGCCUUUCUACAGUGUCAUUAAAAAAGGAUUUUGUGGGGGCGCCUGGGUGGCGCAGUCGGUUAAGCGUCCGACUUCAGCCAGGUCACGAUCUCGCGGUCCGUGAGUUCGAGCCCCGCGUCGGGCUCUGGGCUGAUGGCUCAGAGCCUGGAGCCUGUUUCCGACUCUGUGUCUCCCUCUCUCUCUGCCCCUCGCCCGUUCAUGCUCUGUCUCUCUCUGUCCCAAAAAUAAAUAAACAUUGAAAAAAAAAAUUUAAAAAAAAGGAUUUUGUGCUAGAAACCCAGGUUAAAUGGUGAAAAGCCAUGUAGGAGAAAAAGAAAACUAACAAACUUCAUAAAAUACAAUCCAAUAGAAUCUGGACUGAGAAUUGCUUUUUUUUUAAUUUUUUUCCUUUUCUGAUAAGUCUCCCUGCAACAACCAUACAAUUAUUCAUUGCUCUAAAGGAUAUUUCAAAUUUAGGACUAUACUCCUCAAAAACUUUAUUACUGAUUCUGUUCCUGCGAAAGGCUCUGAUUGCCUUUGAAAGGUAAGUAGUAGCAACAGGAGCAGUAUUUCUCUGGUAACUGUGUUUUCCCUUACUCUUUCAUUUUUUCGAGGACUGAGAUAAGUGGCAACCUUGUUAGGGACUUCAUAAGUGGCAGUAUUUUUGAUUAUUAUGAUGAAAGGACCUCUUUUUUUAAGAGGUCAUAAAGAAGAUUGAUAGGUUGAUUGGAAAAGUUGUGGACUACCUGUAGAUAGAAUUAUUUUGCAGAUUCUUUUCAUAGAAGAUUACUAAAUUAAUAUUACUUAUUCUGCUUAUUUUUUGAGACAGAUUUUCUUUUAUAAAUAAAAGAUUUCUCCCCCAUUAACAUUAGAUUCUUGGAAUAAGUAACUAUGAAUGUGGGUAGAUUAAUCUUUUGUUUCCUCUGUAAAUUGAGGGCUUUGGACUAUUUAUAAUCUAGAUCAUAUUGCUAAAGUCAGAACUCUUACUCAAGCAGAAAUCCAGUUCAAGUUACAGUUGUCUAUUGACCAGUUAUGUGAGGUUGAGUGUUAGUCACCUGCUCGUGACUCAUAGUUAGCUGUGUGGAAGACUAGGAUAUUUAAAAGUAAAUUUAUUAUUUCUUCACUGUAGGAUUGAAGUCACUGAAAACCACAUGGUUGAAACAGAAUUGGCAGGUUUUUUAAAAAGCCUUCUAUAGGAAAACGUGUCACACUUAAUCAUGUUAGCCAAUAAUUGCUAAAAAAUUUUGUUGGAAGUUCUCUGUACCUACCUGUGGCUCUAUUUUUGUGAUAGGUAGUUCAUGGUUCACAGCGGUUUUUAAUCCUCCUUUUCUUGAGAAGUAAUUCAAAUAAGUUGCUCUUUUUUUCCAAGAGUGACUUGGGUAGUAAUUCGUUUAUAAAAGGGCCACUUUAAACUUCUUUAUCAUUUUGGUUCUUGGAAAUUUGCUUAAUUAGGUCAGUAGAAGGAGAGUUGCUUAAUUCUAGAAUUAGGAAAUUUGUAGAUGAAGUUUCUUAAAAAUGAGGGAAUAAGAAAAAUGACAGGUUUAGUUAUUUUCUAUAAACUUACUCUGAAAAUCAUGUGGCUCCCAUACUGGAUUAGCUACUUUCAGGGAAGAUUGCUAAAAUGAGCCAGUGAGCUUAAACCAUGCUUAGGUAUGCCAUUUACCAUAAGCGUUAGACCUUAGGCACAGAGAAGUUAUUGGAGAGUACAGAAAAAGAAGCAAUGCUUCCCAUUGGAGAAAACAGUUCUCAUGAUCUCUUAGACCCUUAAAAGCAUACUUGAUUUUUUAAAGUUUUAUUGUAAUACAUCUUCAGUUUUGGCUUAUUAGUGUUUUUAUAACACCUUCUUAUCACUAGAAAUGUAUACAACAAACUGAAUUAUUACUUAGUAUUUAGAAUUUAUCUGAACCUUCCCAUACCUAUCAGGCAUGUCUCCAGUUGCGAACACUUAAAAACCUUACUAGUAAUGUCCAAAACAGGAAUUCCUUUUUCUUCCAUGACAAGAAAUCCACAGACGGGCAAUUUGGGGCCAGUACAACAGCUCAAGAAAGGUUGUCAAGAAUUUGAGUAUCCUCUUUAUUCCUGAGCCACCAUCUUCAUAAGGGGCACUUAACCUCAUGAUCACAAGAUGGUGCUUUUACCUUAAGGCACUGAAUCCCUGUGGCAGAGAGAAGAGCAAAGAGUUUUCUUCCAGUAAUGUUUCACUUUGUUGUUUUUUGCCCCAGAAGGGAUUCCUUUUAUCAGACAUCUCCCUGUACAUUGCCUUGGCCAGAACUUUGUUACUUCUCUACCUCUAACUGCAGGGGAAGCUGUGAGAUCCAUGUGUUAGCUUUCCUGAGUCUGUGGGGGAAGGAGGCAUCCUGCAGUGUCAGCCAGAUCAGAGACACUUUGAAUUCUAGCGUUUGCACAUCGAAACUUCCUACAAUGCUAGAUGGCUCUGAUUGAACUACUCACAGCAGAUUCAAAAUAGCAAGCCAGAAUCUUAAUAAAUCCCGUGACAACUUGGACACUAGCCUUCAUUUUUUAAAAAAUUUAACCACCUAAUUUUUUUCCCAUAUAUUUUGAAUAAAAAAUUCAAGUUUUGGCUCCUA